rnacentral:snRNA from 1 species
GCAUAAUGCUCUCCAGUUCACCCCAUUGAUCUCCAGGGUUGAUUUGGCUGAUCUGGCUGGCUAGGCGGGUGUCUCCCUCCUCCCUCACCGAUCCAUGUGCGUCCCUCCCGAAGCUGUGCACUCAAAGAGGACGACCUUCCCCCCCGAGGAGAGGACCGGUCUUUGGUCAAGGGUAUAGGAGUAGCUGUGCUCCCCUGCUAGAACCUCCAAACAAGCUCUCAAGGUCUUUGGAUAUUUCUUUAGGGCCAAUUCAUUUCUGAUGGUUUCAAUACACCAUUCAG